GACGAACGCUGGCGGCGUGCUUAACACAUGCCAGUCGAACGGAAAGGCCCUGCUUUUGUGGGGUGCUCGAGUGGCGAACGGGUGGGUAACACGUGAGCAACCUGCCCUUGACUUUGGGAUAACUUCAGGAAACUGGGGCUAAUACCGGAUAGGAGCUCCUGCUGCAUGGUGGGGGUUGGAAAGUUUCGGCGGUUGGGGAUGGACUCGCGGCUUAUCAGCUUGUUGGUGGGGUAGUGGCUUACCAAGGCUUUGACGGGUAGCCGGCCUGAGAGGGUGACCGGCCACAUUGGGACUGAGAUACAGCCCAGACUCCUACGGGAGGCAGCAGUGGGGAAUAUUGCACAAUGGGCGGAAGCCUGAUGCAGCAACGCCGCGUGCGGGAUGACGGCCUUCGGGUUGUAAACCGCUUUCGCCUGUGACGAAGCGUGAGUGACGGUAAUGGGUAAAGAAGCACCGGCUAACUACGUG
rnacentral:rRNA from 1 species